ACUCCUACGGGAGGCAGCAGUAGGGAAUCUUCCACAAUGGGCGCAAGCCUGAUGGAGCAACACCGCGUGAGUGAAGAAGGGUUUCGGCUCGUAAAGCUCUGUUGUUAAAGAAGAACACGUAUGAGAGUAACUGUUCAUACGUUGACGGUAUUUAACCAGAAAGUCACGGCUAACUACGUGCCAGCAGCCGCGGUAAUACGUAGGUGGCAAGCGUUAUCCGGAUUUAUUGGGCGUAAAGAGAGUGCAGGCGGUUUUCUAAGUCUGAUGUGAAAGCCUUCGGCUUAACCGGAGAAGUGCAUCGGAAACUGGAUAACUUGAGUGCAGAAGAGGGUAGUGGAACUCCAUGUGUAGCGGUGGAAUGCGUAGAUAUAUGGAAGAACACCAGUGGCGAAGGCGGCUACCUGGUCUGCAACUGACGCUGAGACUCGAAAGCAUGGGUAGCGAACAGGAUUAGAUACCCUGGUAGGAUACC
rnacentral:rRNA from 1 species